CAGCCAGCGAGACUGUAUUCCAAAUGCGUUUAAAAAUCAGGGAAAUCCGCCGGCAAACCCGCGGAGCAGCGUUAAUACUUGAGUAACUGGCCGGGCAAUCCCCCCACUGCCCAGCCAGAUGAGGUCGCUAGGAUUGCGAUUUCAUACUCCUAAUGGUCUUGGCCCGGCUUCCCUGGAAACCGG
rnacentral:sRNA from 1 species